UGUGUAGGCGGUUGUGUUAGUCUUCUGUCAAAUUCUUCGGCUUAACCGGGGGUCCGCAGAGGAAACGGCACAACUAGAGGAUGCGAGGGGUCUGUGGAACUCAUGGAGUAGGGGUGAAAUCCGUUGAUAUCAUGGGGAACACCAAAAGCGAAGGCAGCAGACUGGCGCACUCCUGACGCUGAAACACGAAAGCGUAGGUAGCGAAUG
rnacentral:rRNA from 1 species